rnacentral:rRNA from 1 species
UGCAAGCUGACGGCAAGAUUUGUAGCAAUACGAGUCCUAGAGUAGCGUAAGGGUGCGUAACACGUAUGCAAUCUACCCACAACAGGAGGAUAGCUCCCCGAAAGGGGAAUUAAGACUCCAUAAUAUCACGAGAGGGCAUCCAAUUGUGAUUAAAGUACAAGCGGUUGUGGAUGAGCAUGCGUCUGAUUAGUUAGUUGGUGCGGGUAACGGCCCACCAAGACGAUGAUCAGUAGGGGAACUGAGAGGUUGGUCCCCCACACUGGCACUGAGAUACGGGCCAGACUCCUACGGGGGGCAGCAGUAGGGAAUAUUGGACAAUGGGUGCAAGCCUGAUCCAGCCAUGCCGCGUGCAGGAAGAAGGCCUUCUGGGUCGUAAACUGCUUUUACCGGGGGAUAAAAUACUCUUGCGAGAGGAAUUGAAAGUACCUGGUGAAUAAGCCACGGCUAACUACGUGCCAGCAGCCGCGGUAAUACGUAGGUGGCAAGCGUUGUCCGGAUUUAUUGGGUUUAAAGGGUGCGUAGGCGGUUUUUUAAGUCAGUGGUGAAAUACGGCAGCUUAACUGUCGAGGUGCCAUUGAUACUGGGAAACUUGAGUACUGAUGAGGUAGGCGGAAUGGACGGUGUAGCGGUGAAAUGCUUAGAGAUCGUCCAGAACACCGAUAGCGAAGGCAGCUUACUAAGGAGUAACUGACGCUGAGGCACGAAAGUGUGGGGAUCAAACAGGAUUAGAUACYCUGGUAGUCCACACUGUAAACGAUGAUUACUCGAUGUUGGCGAUACACAGCCAGCGUCUUAGCAAAAGCGAUAAGUAAUCCACCUGGGGAGUACGCCG